rnacentral:lncRNA from 1 species
GUUUUGCAGGUUCAGUGUACAGGGACAGUCCAGCAGAGUACAGAAAGAGUAACGAGAUUUGUAAUAGCGUAGAGUGGACAUGUAAUAUGAAAGAGAUGUAAUAGUUGUGUAUAAAGUUAGAAAUGUGCUUGACUUAGUGAUGUAUGUUUUGUACAUGAUCUGGAUAUGUAUAUAUGUUUUACUGUAUGUGAAAAACCAGGCUUAACAGGUAUAGAGUACAGAGUACAGAGUACAGAGUAUAGAAUACAGAGAUAGUGCAUGCACAGGUUAAGCCUUGGUUCAGAAAAGAGUUUUUAUUUUUCACAGAAAAUGUAUGAUCAUGUAUGAGUUUUACAGGUACACAGAGAGUAUAGCAGGCUUGCUACGGGUUCUGGCGGCCUUAAGCCGACCUGAAUCCUAGCGCCGGUGACGGUCCAUUUUGGGGUCGUUACAGAUUGGUAUCAGAGCCCUAGGUUCACAUGAUCGGACCUAAAGAGAGAGUGUCGGGCUCAUAAAGGUUAGAAGUGGUCAAGCACAAUAGGAAAUCAUGUCCACUAGGAUAGGGUCUUGAGUCCUAUCUGUUUAAUGUCAUGAAUUAUGCAUGUGCCUUAUUGAGAUGUGAUGUUUAUGUGCUAAAGUGCUAUCUUAUGUGUUGUUGUCCAGAAUAAAGAUGCGAGGAACUCGUCGAUCAGCUCGAUUGACUGGAGUCCCACCAGAUAGUGAGAGAACAACUGCUCGUCCUCCUGCAUUGCUAAGGGCAAGGUCUCAGAGAUCUAGCAGGGAAGGUACGUCAAUAGACCCUAGAAGGUCUGUAGACGAGAGUAGAAGAGGUACAGCGAGAGGAGAAAGAUCAGAGGAAAGGAGGGAGGCUAUGGAGAGUGACCAGUCUAGAGAUGAUAGCAUGGGUAUAGGCAGAUUUGAGGAAGGUAUGGGAGAGUCGCAGGGAGGCGCUCAGGCCUCAGGUUUUGGUUAUCCAGCUUUUUCGCAGGAUCUAGAGUAUCCGAUGGGAGGUAUGUCGGAGUACUCGAGUUUUGUCCCAUAUCCUCCUUACAUGCCAUAUAUGCCUUAUCCUCCUUACUAUCCACCAUAUCCUAUGUAUCCACCUUCCCCUACCCAUCCAAGUGCAGCACACCCAGAACCAAAUGACCCAGUACCACCACCAGAACCAGUAGCCCCUGUUGUAGAUAGACAUCAACCUAGCUCAUCUGGAGGUAAGGUACAAAUGACGGAGUACUUGAAAUUGGAUGCUCCUAAAUACAACACGGGAGAUGAUCCAUUUGACUACCUCAGAUCAGUUAGGAUGAUAACUAGUGAAUUGGGAGCUGAUGAUAGUAGAGCCAUUGAGAUGGCAGGGUUUACACUUAAAUGCAAGAAGGCCAGAGAAUGGUUCAAGAAUUAUGUGGAACCCAGGAUGAUCAGUAUGUCUUGGGGAGAGUUUGCCAAUGAAUUUGUAGGGUGGGCUUUUCCUGACAGUUCUAGGGAGAUGAAAGUAAUAGAGUUCGAACAGUUGCGACAGACAGAUGAGAUGAGUGUUAUGAAUUCACAGAUAAGUUCCUGGAUUUGCUUCAAUAUGUGGGUUAAGCCUAUGAUACUGAUCAGAAGAAGGCAAGGAGAUAUACUAUGAGAUUUCAUCCCAGGUAUUCUUCCUUGAUUCUUCCAGCAGAAAAGGAGAGUUUCCACACUAUAGUAGACGCAGCCAGGAAAAUGGAAGCUAGUGCCAAUAUUCAGAAACAGUCAAAGGCACAGGCUUCGGGUUCUAAGGCCCCCAGUGCAGGCACUUCAGGCAACAAGAGAUGGGAUAGAGCGAAAGGAACAAAGAGUAAGUUCUGGAGUAAAGUGAAGUCAGGUCUGGGAAUAGGUAGUGGCUCAAGCUCUGGCACAGCUCCAGUCUGCAGAAGAUGCAGAAAACCACAUGGAGGAGUUUGUCGGUUGGGAUCUACAACUUGUUUUAGAUGUGGACAGGAAGGGCAUAUUGCUCGGGAUUGUCCUCAGGUGACGUUUGCACCAUCCCAGCAGAUGAGUUCAGGCAGUGUGGUAUAGCCAGUUGUACAGCCAGCAGCUCCAGUCAUGCCUCAGAGUAGUGGCAGAGGUAGAGGGAGAGGGGCAGCCUCUACUUCAGCAGUAGGUUCCCGAGGUGGAAAUCCGGUAGCCCCAGCACGGAUUUUCACUGUGACACAGGAGGAGGCUAACACGUCGAACACAGUGGUGUCAGGUAAUCUCAUCAUUGGGUGUUCAGAUGUGUAUGCUUUGAUGGACCCCGGUGCUUCUCAUUCCUUUAUUGCUUCGAGAGCCAUAAAGAGGUUGGGUUUGAUCAGUUCUGAGUUAGAGUAUCCUCUCUGGGUUAGUGGACCUAAAUGUGACCCAUCAGUGGCAGUGUCAGUCUGUCGGUUCAAUCCAGUGUUCAUAGAGGGUAGAUGCCUUCCAGCUGACCUUGUGGUUCUAGACUUGACAGAUUUUGAUGUCAUUCUAGGGAUGGAUUGGCUAUCUGCAUAUAGUGCUACUUUGGACUGUAAAGAGAAGAUAGUGAGUCUCAGAGACCAGGAUGGGUCAGAGUGUGUCUUCAGAGGAGACAGGAGAGGUACACCCAGAGGUAUGAUUUCAGCCCUUCAGGCUCGUCGUUUGAUUAGGAGGGGUUGUCAGGGGUUUCUAGCUCAUGUGAGAGAGCUAGACAGUCAGGUGAGGGAACCAGCCGCAGUACCAGUAGUCCGCGAGUUUCUCGAUGUUUUUCCAGACGAACUUCCAGGACUACCACCUGGUAGGGAGAUAGAGUUUGAAAUAGAAUUACUGCCUGAUACCAGACCUAUCUUUAUUCCUCCCUACAGGAUGGCGCCAGCAGAGUUAAAGGAGUUAAAAGAACAGUUGCAGGACUUGGUAGAUAAGGGUUUCAUCCGCCCUAGUACCUCACCUUGGGGUGCUCCAGUGCUCUUUGUCAGAAAGAAGGAUGGCUCCCUCAGACUUUGUAUCGACUAUAGACAGUUGAACAAGGUCACUACCAAGAAUAGGUAUCCUUUACCUCGGAUUGAUGAUCUAUUUGACCAGCUAGCUGGAGCAGGUUGUUUCUCUAAAAUAGAUCUGAGAUCCGGAUAUCAUCAGUUGAGAGUCAGAGAGGCCGAUGCAUCAAAGACCGCUUUUCGGACUAGAUAUGGGCAUUAUGAGUUCUUAGUGAUGCCGUUCGGGUUGACUAACGCCCCUGCAGCAUUCAUGGAUCUCAUGAACAGGGUAUUCAGUGAGUUUCUGGAUCACUUUGUCAUUGUUUUCAUCGAUGAUAUCUUAGUGUAUUCCAGAGAUGCAGAGGAGCAUGCCCAGCAUCUGAGGAUAGUUCUGCAAACACUGAGAGAGCAUGGUUUAUAUGCCAAGUUCUCGAAGUGUGAGUUUUAGUUGAGGAGCAUUUCCUUCUUGGGACAUGUGGUAUCAGCAGAGGGUAUUGAGGUAGAUCCCAAGAAGAUAGAGGCUGUAGCUAACUGGCCCAGACCCACUAUUUACUAUUCUACUCACUGGGCUAUAGAGCUCAUCCCACUCCCUUAACCCCAGUUUUGCAGGUUCAGUGUACAGGGACAGUCCAGCAGAGUACAGAAAGAGUAACGAGAUUUGUAAUAGCGUAGAGUGGACAUGUAAUAUGAAAGAGAUGUAAUAGUUGUGUAUAAAGCUAGAAAUGUGCUUGACUUAGUGAUGUAUGUUUUGUACAUGAUCUGGAUAUGUAUAUAUGUUUUACUGUAUGUGAAAAACCAGGCUUAACAGGUACAGAGUACAGAGUACAG